AACCCUAAGUCCUAUAAUGAGUAAGGUUACUCGGACAUGGCCCAAUGAGGGUGAAAGGCCCGUGGGGGUGGAGAUUCAGAAUGGCCAGUAUCUUCCUGAGCAGACCUUGGAGUCGGGUUGUUUGUGAAUGCAGCCCAAAGCGGGUGGUAAACUCCAUCCAAGGCUAAAUACUAGCACGAGUCCGAUAGCGAACAAGUACCGUGAGGGAAAGUUGAAAGUACUUUGAAGAGAGAGUAAACAGUGCGUGAACCGUUCAGAGGUAAACAGGUGGAGUUGAACUGCAAGCUCUGAGGAUUCAGCUGGUGAGUAUGGCAUGAGCUUGGUCAUAUUGGUUGUGUGCUCGGGUCUGCUUAGCUGCAGGUCUCCGCUUCGGUGGGGAUGCGCGAAUCACUCAUCAGGUGUUGUGCGCCCGGGUACUGACGGACCUGCUUGCCAGUGCAUUUCUCAGAGUGUUCACCACGACCGACGUUGCUGUCUGGCUGUUGCGGUUAAACCGGCUUGGUAGGGUCCUUGUGUCCUUGCUAGGUCGGGAUGGCAGGUAGCCCGUUGUGCGAUUUAUCGUGCUUUGGGUGUAAUAGCCGACUGCUUCGGUUCUGUGCGGUACGUCGGAGACGGCGGCUUGUUGUGCGUGCGGGCGUGCCUGUCGCGCCGGCGGCUCUGGGUCUGGUUGCCUUGUUGCUUGUGAAUGCAGGCCAGGUGAUGGCUCGGUGUCGUUCGGUCGGCGGUUGCGUUUGUUGCACUUUGAAAGGGCCCACAGUCUGUGGUGUAGUGGUAGACUAUCCACCUGACCCGUCUUGAAACACGGACCAAGGAGAGUAACAUGUGCGCGAGUCAUUGGGCGUUACGAAACCCAAAGGCGCAGUGAAAGUGAAGGCUCGGCUUGUCUGGGCUGAAGUGAGAUCCUGUCGUUUCUCAUGCGCGGUACUACCAAGCUUCAAGCGGCAAGG
rnacentral:rRNA from 1 species